rnacentral:rRNA from 1 species
UGCUUGCACAGCCCAAUCUUUUCAUAACUUAGUGGCGGACGGGUGAGUAACGCGUGGGUAACCUGCCCUGUACUGGGGGACAACAGUUGGAAACGACUGCUAAUACCGCAUAAGCGCACGGGAUCGCAUGAUCCUGUGUGAAAAACUCCGGUGGUACAGGAUGGACCCGCGUCUGAUUAGCUGGUUGGUGAGGUAACGGCCCACCAAGGCAACGAUCAGUAGCCGGCCUGAGAGGGUGAACGGCCACAUUGGGACUGAGACACGGCCCAAACUCC